ensembl:snoRNA SNORD24 Small nucleolar RNA SNORD24
CACAGAUGACGUGAAGGAAUAUUUGCUAUCUGAGUGUGGUGACGACAUCAACACCACCCAGAUGGCUGAUGUG